GCUUCACUUCACUUCACUUUAAUUAAUAAUUAAGAAAGAAGAAAGGGAAAAUGGUUUAUUAACGACGCGGGGGAGGAGGAUUAAGCAAGCAAGCUUGAACACUCAACGACAACGAAGAACGUCGACAUUGGCGGGUCGGGUUGCAUGCGAUUCGGGCUUGAGAUCUGAUUUGAUCGACUGGUGCCAAAUCUAUCGACCGACAGUGGGGAUUACAUAGAGUGUGAGAGUAGAGUCAGAAGCACUGGAGACGGUACAGGAGACUGCGCAGCCGUUGAAGCCGCCGGGAAACGGUCAGAUCCGAUAUCGAUCGCCAUCGGCCGCUGAGCUCUUGGAGGCACAACACCCAGCGCCGCCGCCGCCGGCUCCGGCCGAUCAAAUGGAGAAGCAACUUAAGCGCAACCGCGGCCAGCACGACUCCGUGUCCGACGUGAUCCAGAGGUACCGGGGAGUCCUCCUAAUCAUCUCUGUGCCUCUGCUGCUCAUUUCGUUCGUCCUCUUCGUCAUGCCCGCCCGAUACCCGGCUGAUUCCAUGGAGUCGCUGAAUCGUAAAUUCUCUCCCGACUUCGGAUCUAAGAGGUACGCCGUCAUCUUCGACGCCGGAAGCUCAGGCAGUAGGGUCCACGUCUUCUGUUUCGAUAAGAACCUCGAUCUGGUUCAAAUAGGCAAUGAACUCGAACUUUUUGUGCAGUUAAAACCAGGUUUGAGUGCUUACCCAAAGGAGCCUAAGGCUGCUGCAAAUUCUCUUGCAUCACUUCUUGAGAAGGCAGAGGGUGUAGUUCCUGCUGAAAUGCGCCCCUACACCCCAGUCAAAGUUGGGGCCACUGCAGGUUUGAGGCAAUUGGAAGGUGAUGCACCUGAUAAGAUCCUGCAAGCGGUGAGGGAUUUUCUGAAGAAGAAAAGCAACUUCAACUCAAGAUCUGAUUGGGUUACUGUUUUGGAUGGAAAUCAGGAAGGUGCUUACCAGUGGGUGACCAUCAAUUAUCUAUUAGGAAAGUUGGGUAAAGAGUACUCUGACACUGUUGGAGUAGUUGAUCUGGGAGGUGGAUCUGUACAAAUGGCUUAUGCUAUCUCAGAGUCAGAUGCUCAAAAGGCGCCAAAGGCAUCAAAAGGAGAGGAUAGAUAUGUGCAGGAUAUGUAUCUCAAGGGGAGAAAAUAUCACCUUUAUGUCCACAGCUAUUUGCACUAUGGUUUGCUUGCAGCUCGAGCUGAGAUUUUGAAGGUCACUGGAAAAUCUGGCAAUCCUUGCAUCUUGGCAGGACAUCAAGGGUCUUAUAAAUAUGGAGGAGCAGCUUAUCCAGUGUCACCUUCGCCUUAUGGUUCAAGCAUGACGAGUUGUAGGGAGGUGGUUAUUAAGGCUCUCAAAGUCAAUGGAUCAGCCUGCACUCACAUGAAAUGCACAUUUGGAGGGGUGUGGAAUGGUGGUGGAGGCAAUGGUCAAAAGAAUCUAUUUGUUGCUUCAUUUUUCUUUGACAGAGCUUCUGAGAUAAUGCUGACUGCAUUAUGUUCAAACAAAGGUUGGAAUCGUUGCUGAUCCAAAUGCGGCUGUUGCAAAAGUUCGCCCAGUUGAUUUUGAAAGUGCAGCUUCAAGUGCUUGUUCAACCGGGCUCGAGGAUGCCAAAUCCAAAUUUCCUCGUAUUGAUCCAAAUAACUUGCCAUACUUGUGUAUGGAUCUUACUUACGAGUUCAGUUUGCUGGUUGAUGGCUUCGGCAUAGGUCCUCAACAAUACAUCACAUUGGUAAAGAAAGUCAAAUACCAAAACUCCCUUGUCGAAGCGGCUUGGCCACUGGGCAGCGCCAUUGAAGCAGUUUCGUAAGUGCACAAGGCCUUAACUAUUACACUCCGAGUUGCAGUCUACUACCGGCCAGUUAUGCUAUGAAGUGCUGAUAUAUUAUCUUUCCAGUUCCCACCAUCAGCGCGUCUGUGAAGAGAAAUUUUGGAUGUUUUGUUAUUGGGUGGGUCGAUAAGAAUAAUGAGAAAUCUUUGUUGUGAUUCUGAUUUAUAAUUGAUGAAGUAAUAUAUUUAGCAGUAUUCAUUCUUGUAAAGGCUACUGGACUCUACCAUUCUGAAACUUAUGCUAUACAGAGGCUUGAUUUUUUGGUUCAAUA